rnacentral:lncRNA from 1 species
ACCCCACAGAUUUCCGCCUCCACGGGCCGCACAAAAUCGACCGCGGUCCGCACAAAACCAGUGCGGUCCGCACAAAAACGACCGGGGCCGCACAAGCUUUUCUCUACAGUGACAGACUUUAGUCUUUUGGCCAUAACAUUCGCUACAGAUGUCCAAAUUGCGAUAUCUUUACAUUUCUGGAAUCUAGACACGAAGGGCUACACCUUUCGUUUUUGAAUCAUCUUAAAAUUCCUUGUAGAUCAAAAGAUAUGAGCUUCCGAAGUAGGACCAGCGAAAUGUUCUUCACCGCGGCCGCAUACCAUUUUGUGCGGUCCGCACAGCACCUACCGCGGCCGCACACCAUUUUGUGCGGUCUGCGCGGGUGAGUGCCGAGACCUGCAACCUUUCUGGACCUGCUACAGCUAUGAUUUUCGGCCUAAAACAUCCCGGAACCUACCCGGAACUCCCGGAACUUCAAACCAAUUGUACCAACACAUCCCAUGACAUCGUUCAAACUUGUUCAAAACUCCAGAACGCUCUCAACAACAUCAAAUCACCAAUUUAACAUAGGAUUCAAGCCUAGAAACUCCAAGAACUCUUAAAUUAUGCUUUCGAUCAAAAAGUCUAUCAAUCUCGUCCGAAUGACCUGAAAUUUUGCA